UGAGUACCGCCAUGUCUGUUGGGCAUCAACAAUCUUCCACCAGGCAUUGUGGUCUUUGC
rnacentral:pre_miRNA from 1 species